rnacentral:rRNA from 1 species
UACAGAGGGUGCAAGCGUUAAUCGGAAUUACUGGGCGUAAAGGGUGUGUAGGUGGCGCGCUAAGUCGGGUGUGAAAUUUCGGAGCUUAACUCCGAAACUGCAUUCGAUACUGGCGUGCUUGAGGACUGGAGAGGAGACUGGAAUUUACGGUGUAGCAGUGAAAUGCGUAGAUAUCGUAAGGAAGACCAGUGGCGAAGGCGGGUCUCUGGACAGUUCCUGACACUG